rnacentral:rRNA from 1 species
AGAGUUUGAUCAUGGCUCAGGAUGAACGCUAGCGGUGUGCUUAAUGCAUGCAAGUCGAACGAUUCUCUUGGAUUCGUCUAGGGGGAUAGUGGCGAACGGGUGAGUAACGCGUAGGUGACCUGCCCCAGAGAGGGGGAUAACUAUUGGAAACGAUAGCUAAUACCCCGGAUGUUAUUGGUAUUAGAAGCUAAUAACUAAAGCUCCGGCGCUCUGGAAUGGGCCUGCGUCCCAUCAGCUAGUUGGUAAGGUAAUGGCUUACCAAGGCGUAGACGGGUAGGGGGCGUGAGAGCGUGACCCCCCACACUGGUACUGAAACACGGACCAGAUACCUACGGGUAGCAGCAGCAAGGAAUAUUGCGCAAUGGGCGAAAGCCUGACGCAGCAACACCGCGUGAAGGACGAAGGUCUUCGGAUCGUAAACUUCUUUUCUGAGGGAAGAGAAAGGACGGUACCUCAGGAAUAAGACCCGGCUAACUACGUGCCAGCAGCCGCGGUAAAACGUAGGGGUCGAGCGUUAUCCGGAUUUACUGGGCGUAAAGCGCAUGUAGGUGGUUUUUUAAGUUGGACGUGAAAGCUCCUGGCUCAACUGGGAGAGGUCGUUCAAAACUGGAAAACUUGAGGGUGGUAGAGGAGAGUGGAAUUCCCGGUGUAGUGGUGAAAUGCGUAGAUAUCGGGAGGAACACCAGUGGCGAAGGCGGCUCUCUGGGCCAUUCCUGACACUGAGAUGCGAAAGCCAGGGGAGAGAACGGGAUUAGAAACCCCGGUAUUCCUGGCCGUAAACGAUGUCAACUAGGUGUAGGGGGUAUCCAAUCCCUCUGUGCUGUAGCUAACGCGUUAAGUUGACCGCCUGGGGACUACGACCGCAAGGUUAAAACUCAAAGGAAUUGACGG